rnacentral:rRNA from 1 species
GAUGAACGCUGGCGGCGUGCCUAAUACAUGCAAGUCGAGCGAACAGACGAGGAGCUUGCUCCUCUGACGUUAGCGGCGGACGGGUGAGUAACACGUGGAUAACCUACCUAUAAGACUGGGAUAACUUCGGGAAACCGGAGCUAAUACCGGAUAAUAUAUUGAACCGCAUGGUUCAAUAGUGAAAGACGGUUUUGCUGUCACUUAUAGAUGGAUCCGCGCCGCAUUAGCUAGUUGGUAAGGUAACGGCUUACCAAGGCAACGAUGCGUAGCCGACCUGAGAGGGUGAUAGGCCACCCUGGAACUUAGACACGGUCCAGACUCCUACGGGAGGCAGCAGUAGGGAAUCUUCCGCAAUGGGCGAAAGCCUGACGGAGCAACGCCGCGUGAGUGAUGAAGGUCUUCGGAUCGUAAAACUCUGUUAUUAGGGAAGAACAAAUGUGUAAGUAACUAUGCACGUCUUGACGGUACCUAAUCAGAAAGCCACGGCUAACUACGUG